rnacentral:lncRNA from 1 species
UCAAGCCAUUCUGGGUUGGGAUACCGAGGAGAGAGGGUGUUUGGCGUGUGCUGGGAAGCUGCUGCUUGCUUGUUUGGGGGAGAGAGGGCUAACUGGGGGUAGAGUGUUUCUGUUGUUGCUGGUUCGAUAUUGUGUUUUUUUGGGGGGGGGAAAUUGGCUGGGGGCUUGGGGCAGAGUCCUUGCUGUGGCUGGCUUUAGGGAACUUUUUUUUUCCAAAGGACGUCUGCGUCCCUGCUAGUGCUGAGCUUGGGGUGCUUUCCAUCUACUCCUGUGGGAGACCUUUUGCCUUUCUGUUUUCUUUUUUGGAAUUUAGCAAUCACCACAUCAGCCCUUCUUUGCAAUCCUGAAGGGGGGGGGGAACUUGAAAAUAAUAGUUUCCAAAGGACGUCUGCGUCCCUGCUAGUGCUGAGCUUGGGGUGCUUUCCAUCUACUCCUGUGGGAGACCUUUUGCCUUUCUGUUUUCUUUUUUGGAAUUUAGCAAUCACCACAUCAGCCCUUCUUUGCAAUCCUGAAGGGGGGGGGGGACUUGAAAAUAAUAGUUUCCAAAGGACGUCUGUGUUCCUGCAAGUGCAUUGCUUCCCUCCCACUCCGUUUGUAAUCCCAAGCCCCCGGGCUGAGUGUUAUUGCAGCAAUCACAAAGACACACAUUGUUUUCAAACCUAAAGGGUACAUUGGAAGAAAUAGUUUCCAAAGGACGUCUGCAUUCCUGCAAGUGCAUUGCUUCCCUCCCGCUCCAUUUGUAAUUCCAAGCCCCCGGGCUGAGUGUUAUUGCAGCAAUCACAAAGACACACAUUGUUUUCAAACCUAAAGGGUACAUUGGAAGAAAUAGUUUCCAAAGGACGUGGGGCACCCGCCAAGGCAUUGCUUCCCUCACGCUCCAUUUCUAUUCCCAAGCCUUGGGCUGAGUUUUAUUUCUGCAAUCACAAAGUCAGACAUUGAUUUGAUUCAAUAGAGGGUCCACAGCAAUUUAUAGUUUCCAAAGGACGUUGCCAAUCCUGUCAAGGCAUUGCUUGGCGUGUGCUGCAUUUCUAAUCCAAAGUCUACACAAGUAGAAGAGGGACUUUUACAGUGAUAAGAACCCAAUUGAACAGGAAAUAAGACUUUCAAACCAGGAACAGGUUUCUUCAAAUAUUGAAAAAUAGUGUAUUAUAAAAAGUUAU